rnacentral:rRNA from 1 species
GCGAACGGACGAGAAGCUUGCUUCUCUGAUGUUAGCGGCGGACGGGUGAGUAACACGUGGAUAACCUACCUAUAAGACUGGGAUAACUUCGGGAAACCGGAGCUAAUACCGGAUAAUAUUUUGAACCGCAUGGUUCAAAAGUGAAAGACGGUCUUGCUGUCACUUAUAGAUGGAUCCGCGCUGCAUUAGCUAGUUGGUAAGGUAACGGCUUACCAAGGCAACGAUGCAUAGCCGACCUGAGAGGGUGAUCGGCCACACUGGAACUGAGACACGGUCCAGACUCCUACGGGAGGCAGCAGUAGGGAAUCUUCCGCAAUGGGCGAAAGCCUGACGGAGCAACGCCGCGUGAGUGAUGAAGGUCUUCGGAUCGUAAAACUCUGUUAUUAGGGAAGAACAUAUGUGUAAGUAACUGUGCACAUCUUGACGGUACCUAAUCAGAAAGCCACGGCUAACUACGUGCCAGCAGCCGCGGUAAUACGUAGGUGGCAAGCGUUAUCCGGAAUUAUUGGGCGUAAAGCGCGCGUAGGCGGUUUUUUAAGUCUGAUGUGAAAGCCCACGGCUCAACCGUGGAGGGUCAUUGGAAACUGGAAAACUUGAGUGCAGAAGAGGAAAGUGGAAUUCCAUGUGUAGCGGUGAAAUGCGCAGAGAUAUGGAGGAACACCAGUGGCGAAGGCGACUUUCUGGUCUGUAACUGACGCUGAUGUGCGAAAGC